UUGUUAUAGGGGGCUCCUCGGGCCCAGGACUGACUGACUGUACCCCAGUGGGCAGUGGACGAAUAUGAGCCACUGGAAUGAGAGACUGGGUUCCAGAAGUACACAGGCUUUUAUCACCAUCCAGGGCCAUUCUGGGGGACUCAGAAGUCCCAAUAUGUGAGGAUGGUGACAGCCGGAUGUGCACUUGAGUGAUGUGGGUGCCACCUACUGUAGGGGCAGAUACAUGGGCAAAGCCACCGCGGGGGCAGGCAGUUUCUGGGGCUGGCGCUUCAAGAUUGGGAGAUGCCUUGAAGUGAGUGGCCAGAGACCUUUGCUGGGGAAGGCUGAAAGAGAAAGUGGAUUUCUGCAGGGGUGAUGCCACGUGAUGAAUAAUGGGGGUGUGUGGAGAGCGGGGUAAAGGGGCCACUGUGUGAGGGGCUUCAGCAGGACACAGGACUGGGGUCUCCAGGUCAUGACUGGCCUCACUCACAGGGGACAGGGAGGUACGGAAGGCUCCAGGUGGGGUGGGGACCGUGCCCACCAUCUUCUUCCGAGCAGCUUUUCUCAGUAGCUUCUGAAGUCGCUGGUUGUCCUUUCCUGGUUUAGGCAGCAAGGGUGGCGGGGGCCCAGGGGAGGGCUCAGGUCUUGGGCCACCUGCUGCCGGGGGUAUCGACACAACCGAAAUGAGCAUCCCUGAUCUGGGGUAGAGAGGAGAAACAGUGGUCAGACUGCCUUCCCUCCCCUGCCCACAGGAGGGGCUGGGUGUUUUCCUACUGUAUGAGGAGGUGGGAGAAUGUGUAGACUCAGCUGCUAGAAGCCCCAGUUCCUAUGCUCCCCAAAACUGCACCUUCUUAUGUUUUAGUCAUGGUGGGUAGCUUCACCAUACCUGGCUGUGGAGGUGAACUUACAGUAGCCCCAGGUCACUUGGUGAGUGCAAUGGUUACUAUCUGCCUUCAAGGUUCUGGCCCACCUUUGAGUGCCAGCUUGGCCCCAGACUUAAAGUAGUGCAGGAUGGGAACAGAGACCCACUGAUGAACUGCAAGCAAACUGCUUGUGCCUGGCCAGCUGCCGGACAGUGGUGGAGGGCAGGCUGCCUGUAGACACGUGAGGGGCGCCAUGCUGUCGCCAGCCUGACCACAGGCGGGUCCGUGUACUUUGAGACAGUGGUGAGGGGGGGCAGCCAAAGGCUCAGGCAAGCUGAGGCUGUAUUCUUAGAGGUAGAUUAGCUGGAAGAUGGGAGCAGUUUUUGCUGAGCUAUACUAAAUGGGAUAUCCCCACGGCCCUCCUGCUGAGGGUGGUCCUGGCCAAGCUGCCUAUCUUGGUUUCUGGGCGCCACGUGUUUGCAAGGACAUUGACAAAUGGCAUCUGGGCCAAGCUGGAGGCCAUCUGGUUUGGGGUGGAAGGAAGCCUGUGGCUGUUGCAGUAGGGGCUGGCCCUGUUGAAGCUGGAGCAAACACUGGAAGGGGGGCUGGAGGUGUCUUCCCACACUUGCUCCCAGCUUCUGGGCUACCUCUAGGGAACUGGUCCUUGGGAAUUGGGGCAACUCUGGGUUUUAUUCAUGGAGGCCACCUCAGUAGGUAGUCAGUAUUCUCUUCUAAGCCAGCCCAGGCCCAGAAUACUGUUCACCCUGACAGCAGGCCUCCCAGGUAACUGACCGCUGUAGGCAAGAGCUUCCCCCAGAUAAUACAGGGUAUAGUAGGGUCUGAUGGCCACUAGGAAGGUAGAGUUGCGGAGGGGACAGGCCAUGCCGCUCCUUUAAUUCUAGCCUUAUGGACCCCAUACCCUUGCCUAUGUUCCUAGGAUAGACUCCAACCAGAUGCCACUCCCAGCCCUGACCAAGAAAUUGCUUCCUGUUGCCAGUCUGGCCCGCUCUCCUGCCUCCAGCAACCCAGCUGCCACUUGCCUCUCCUCUUGCUACUGGACCCUCCAUCUUCUAUGCCCUCUCAUCCUCUGACCAACCCUCCAACUCUGCUUCUCAUCAUCAGCUAAAGGGACCAGCCCAUAGAGGAGCCGAGAGCUCCCAAGGAAGGAUGGAGGAGAGAAGGCAAGCAUCCCAACCAGAUCCAAGGGGUAACUGUCCCCAUGCUGAAUGCUCAGGACUCCAAGUCCUGCCCUGUUUAUGGAUCCUUCGUUUUGUGUAAUAAAGUGCAUUGAGUGUCCCCUAUG
rnacentral:lncRNA from 1 species